rnacentral:rRNA from 1 species
UGGUCCAGACUUUGAUUAUGGCUCAGGAUGAACGCUAGCUGCAGGCUUAACACAUGCAAGUCGAGGGGAAACGACAUCGAAAGCUUGCUUUUGAUGGGCGUCGACCGGCGCACGGGUGAGUAACGCGUAUCCAACCUGCCCACCACUUGGGGAUAACCUUGCGAAAGUAAGACUAAUACCCAAUGAUAUCUCUAGAAGACAUCUGAAGGAGAUUAAAGAUUUAUCGGUGAUGGAUGGGGAUGCGUCUGAUUAGCUUGUUGGCGGGGUAACGGCCCACCAAGGCGACGAUCAGUAGGGGUUCUGAGAGGAAGGUCCCCCACAUUGGAACUGAGACACGGUCCAAACUCCUACGGGAGGCAGCAGUGAGGAAUAUUGGUCAAUGGACGAGAGUCUGAACCAGCCAAGUAGCGUGCAGGAUGACGGCCCUAUGGGUUGUAAACUGCUUUUAUAAGGGAAUAAAGUGAGUCUCGUGAGACUUUUUGCAUGUACCUUAUGAAUAAGGACCGGCUAAUUCCGUGCCAGCAGCCGCGGUAAUACGGAAGGUCCGGGCGUUAUCCGGAUUUAUUGGGUUUAAAGGGAGCGUAGGCCGGAGAUUAAGCGUGUUGUGAAAUGUAGAUGCUCAACAUCUGCACUGCAGCGCGAACUGGUUUCCUUGAGUACGCACAAAGUGGGCGGAAUUCGUGGUGUAGCGGUGAAAUGCUUAGAUAUCACGAAGAACUCCGAUUGCGAAGGCAGCUCACUGGAGCGCAACUGACGCUGAAGCUCGAAAGUGCGGGUAUCGAACAGGAUUAGAUACCCUGGUAGUCCGCACGGUAAACGAUGGAUGCCCGCUGUUGGUCUGAAUAGGUCAGCGGCCAAGCGAAAGCAUUAAGCAUCCCACCUGGGGAGUAAGCCGGCAACGGUGCAACUCAAAGGAAUUGACGGAA